UCUUAUGUACAUGCCUACAAAAUUAAUGCAAUGAAUCCCAUUAGAACUCCAUAGUUAAGUGCACUUGGGCUAGAGUAGUACUGGGAUGGGUGACCUCUCGAAAAUUCUUGGUGUUUUACAUGCC
rnacentral:rRNA from 1 species